rnacentral:rRNA from 1 species
UUGAAGAGUUUGAUCAUGGCUCAGAUUGAACGCUGGCGGCAGGCCUAACACAUGCAAGUCGAGCGGUAGCACAGAGAGCUUGCUCUCGGGUGACGAGCGGCGGACGGGUGAGUAAUGUCUGGGAAACUGCCUGAUGGAGGGGGAUAACUACUGGAAACGGUAGCUAAUACCGCAUAAUGUCGCAAGACCAAAGUGGGGGACCUUCGGGCCUCAUGCCAUCAGAUGUGCCCAGAUGGGAUUAGCUAGUAGGUGGGGUAACGGCUCACCUAGGCGACGAUCCCUAGCUGGUCUGAGAGGAUGACCAGCCACACUGGAACUGAGACACGGUCCAGACUCCUACGGGAGGCAGCAGUGGGGAAUAUUGCACAAUGGGCGCAAGCCUGAUGCAGCCAUGCCGCGUGUGUGAAGAAGGCCUUCGGGUUGUAAAGCACUUUCAGCGGGGAGGAAGGCGGUAAGGUUAAUAACCUUGUCGAUUGACGUUACCCGCAGAAGAAGCACCGGCUAACUCCGUGCCAGCAGCCGCGGUAAUACGGAGGGUGCAAGCGUUAAUCGGAAUUACUGGGCGUAAAGCGCACGCAGGCGGUCUGUCAAGUCGGAUGUGAAAUCCCCGGGCUCAACCUGGGAACUGCAUUCGAAACUGGCAGGCUAGAGUCUUGUAGAGGGGGGUAGAAUUCCAGGUGUAGCGGUGAAAUGCGUAGAGAUCUGGAGGAAUACCGGUGGCGAAGGCGGCCCCCUGGACAAAGACUGACGCUCAGGUGCGAAAGCGUGGGGAGCAAACAGGAUUAGAUACCCUGGUAGUCCACGCCGUAAACGAUGUCGAUUUGGAGGUUGUGCCCUUGAGGCGUGGCUUCCGGAGCUAACGCGUUAAAUCGACCGCCUGGGGAGUACGGCCGCAAGGUUAAAACUCAAAUGAAUUGACGGGGGCCCGCACAAGCGGUGGAGCAUGUGGUUUAAUUCGAUGCAACGCGAAGAACCUUACCUGGUCUUGACAUCCACAGAACUUUCCAGAGAUGGAUUGGUGCCUUCGGGAACUGUGAGACAGGUGCUGCAUGGCUGUCGUCAGCUCGUGUUGUGAAAUGUUGGGUUAAGUCCCGCAACGAGCGCAACCCUUAUCCUUUGUUGCCAGCGGUUCGGCCGGGAACUCAAAGGAGACUGCCAGUGAUAAACUGGAGGAAGGUGGGGAUGACGUCAAGUCAUCAUGGCCCUUACGACCAGGGCUACACACGUGCUACAAUGGCAUAUACAAAGAGAAGCGACCUCGCGAGAGCAAGCGGACCUCAUAAAGUAUGUCGUAGUCCGGAUUGGAGUCUGCAACUCGACUCCAUGAAGUCGGAAUCGCUAGUAAUCGUAGAUCAGAAUGCUACGGUGAAUACGUUCCCGGGCCUUGUACACACCGCCCGUCACACCAUGGGAGUGGGUUGCAAAAGAAGUAGGUAGCUUAACCUUCGGGAGGGCGCUUACCACUUUGUGAUUCAUGACUGGGGUGAAGUCGUAACAAGGUAACCGUAGGGGAACCUGCGGUUGGAUCACCUCCUU